rnacentral:rRNA from 1 species
CUACGGGUUGCACCAGUAGGGAAUCUUAGACAAUGGGGGAAAUCCUGAUCUAGCCAUGCCGCGUGAGUGAUGAAGGCCUUAGGGUUGUAAAGCUCUUUCGCUGGGGAAGAUAAUGACGGUACCCAGUAAAGAAACCCCGGCUAACUCCGUGCCAGCAGCCGCGGUAAUACGGAGGGGGUUAGCGUUGUUCGGAAUUACUGGGCGUAAAGCGCGCGUAGGCGGGCUAUUAAGUCAGGGGUGAAAUCCCGGGGCUCAACCCCGGAACUGCCUUUGAUACUGGUAGUCUUGAGUUCGAGAGAGGUGAGUGGAAUUCCGAGUGUAGAGGUGAAAUUCGUAGAUAUUCGGAGGAACAUCAGUGGCGAAGGCGACUCACUGGCUCGAUACUGACGCUGAGGUGCGAAAGUGUGGGGAGCAAACAGGAUUAGAUACCCUUGUAGUC